GUACACUCCUACGAGAGGCAGCAGUGGGGAAUUUUGGACAAUGGGCGAAAGCCUGAUCCAGCAAUGCCGCGUGCAGGAUGAAGGCCUUCGGGUUGUAAACUGCUUUUGUACGGAACGAAAAAGCUCCUUCUAAUACAGGGGGCCCAUGACGGUACCGUAAGAAUAAGCACCGGCUAACUACGUGCCAGCAGCCGCGGUAAUACGUAGGGUGCGAGCGUUAAUCGGAAUUACUGGGCGUAAAGCGUGCGCAGGCGGUUAUGUAAGACAGAUGUGAAAUCCCCGGGCUCAACCUGGGAACUGCAUUUGUGACUGCAUGGCUAGAGUACGGUAGAGGGGGAUGGAAUUCCGCGUGUAGCAGUGAAAUGCGUAGAUAUGCGGAGGAACACCGAUGGCGAAGGCAAUCCCCUGGACCUGUACUGACGCUCAUGCACGAAAGCGUGGGGAGCAAACAGGAUUAGAAACCCGAGUAGUCCC
rnacentral:rRNA from 1 species